rnacentral:lncRNA from 13 species
CUAAUAUUCACAGCAUCUGUGACAUUGAUGAUCCACUCUAGUGAAGGACAUCUGGGCAGGGCACCAAGAGUACACCACAUAUGAUAACAGUAGAAAUAGUAGGAAAAGAGAAGUAGGUACAGCUAGGUGAAGUGAAGGUCAAAGUGGAGAGUUCUUGCUUUUAUCCUUCAGGAACUUACUGAGCAUCUGAUUCUGAUACCAUCUAUCAUCUAUCAGUACUACAGAACUAUCUCUUCUGAAGUUCAUCCACAUCCAAAUGCAUACUCUGUGUAA